UACGAAGGGGGGCUAGCGUUGCUCGGAAUCACUGGGCGUAAAGCGCACGUAGGCGGCUUGUUAAGUCAGGGGUGAAAUCCUGGAGCUCAACUCCAGAACUGCCUUUGAUACUGGCGAGCUUGAGUUCGGGAGAGGUGAGUGGAACUGCGAGUGUAGAGGUGAAAUUCGUAGAUAUUCGCAAGAACACCAGUGGCGAAGGCGGCUCACUGGCCCGGUACUGACGCUGAGGUGCGAAAGCGUGGGGAGCAAACAGG
rnacentral:rRNA from 1 species